GGGACUCAUAUUUUUCCCAGACGCGGAGAUCACGCUGACCUGGCAGCGGGAUGGGGAGGAACAGACCCAGGACACAGAGCUUGUGGAGACCAGGCCUGCAGGGGAUGGAACCUUCCAGAAGUGGGCCGCUGUGGUGGUGCCUUCUGGAGAGGAACAGAGAUACACAUGCCAUGUGCAGCACGAGGGGCUGCCCCAGCCCCUCAUCCUGAGAUGGGAGCAGUCUCCCCAGCCCACCAUCCCCAUCGUGGGCAUCGUUGCUGGCCUUGUUGUCCUUGGAGCUGUGGUCACUGGAGCUGUGGUCGCUGCUGUGAUGUGGAGGAAGAAGAGCUCAGAUAGAAACAGAGGGAGCUACUCUCAGGCUGCAGUGUGAGACAGCUUCCUUGUGUGGGACUGAGAAGCAAGAUAUCAAUGUAGCAGAAUUGCACUUGUGCCUCACGAACAUACAUAAAUUUUAAAAAUAAAGAAUAAAAAUAUAUCUUUUUAUAGAUA
rnacentral:sRNA from 1 species